GCUCAGGAUGAACGCUGGCGGCGUGCUUAACACAUGCAAGUCGAACGAAGCACUAUUAUUUGAUUUCUUCGGAAUGAAGAUUUUAGUGACUGAGUGGCGGACGGGUGAGUAACGCGUGGGUAACCUGCCUCAUACAGGGGGAUAACAGUUAGAAAUGACUGCUAAUACCGCAUAAGACCACAGUACCGCAUGGUACAGGGGUAAAAACUCCGGUGGUAUGAGAUGGACCCGCGUCUGAUUAGGUAGUUGGUGGGGUAACGGCCUACCAAGCCGACGAUCAGUAGCCGACCUGAGAGGGUGACCGGCCACAUUGGGACUGAGACACGGCCCAAACUCCUACGGGAGGCAGCAGUA
rnacentral:rRNA from 1 species